UUUUUUGAUACCUAUAAUAAUU
rnacentral:siRNA from 1 species